rfam:Myotis brandtii contig280187, whole genome shotgun sequence.
CUCGGGUUUGGAGGGGUCCCUCAGCCUGGAUUGCGAGAGGGCGCAGGCCAGGUCAAGGGACCCCACCGGUGCAUG